rnacentral:lncRNA from 1 species
AAUCGGGGGCCCCGAUCAUGAGUUACGACCCCUUCUUUGCGGCCCCCGAGGCCGUGCGCUAUAGCCCCCCGGGCGCCCCCGCCGCCGACCGCACCCGUCCGAACCCGACCACCUCACCCGCCGUGUGCCGAUCCCGCCCCGCGGUCCCCCCCGGGGCAUGAACCGCCGCCCGGGGGGCCGAAACCGGCAAAACGUGCCAAACGGCCCCGAUCUUACCCAUUUUUCGGCGAUCCAACCGCAGCACGGCUACCCCCCCAUCCCGAUGCCCCCGGACCGCUGUUCCCGUGGGACCAAACGGAAACGGAAUCGGAGGCCCGGAUCAUGAGUUACGGCCGAAACCGGCAAAGCCUACUAAGCGGCCCCCGAUCUUGCCCAUUUUUCGCCGUUCAAACUGCCGCGCGGCUGCCCCCCCAUCCCGAUGCCCCCGGACCGCUGGUCCCGUGGGACGAAACGGAAACGGAAUCGGGGGCCCCGAUCAU